rnacentral:rRNA from 1 species
GGACGAACGCUGGCGGCGUGCCUAACACAUGCAAGUCGAGCGGAGGGGAUAGGAGCUUGCUUCUUGAACCUCAGCGGCGGACGGGUGAGUAACACGUGGGUAACCUGCCCUUGAGAGGGGGAUAACAGGUCGAAAGGCCUGCUAAUACCGCAUAACGCUAAGAAGCUGCAUGGCGUCUUAGCCAAAGGUUAAUUCCGCUCAAGGAUGGGCCCGCGGCCCAUUAGCUAGUUGGUGAGGUAAUGGCUCACCAAGGCGACGAUGGGUAGCCGGCCUGAGAGGGUGGUCGGCCACACUGGGACUGAGACACUGCCCAGACUCCCACGGGAGGCAGCAGUGGGGAAUAUUGCGCAAUGGGGGAAACCCUGACGCAGUGACGCCGCGUGAGCGAUGAAGGCCUUCGGGUUGUAAAGCUCUGUCUUCCCUGACGAUAAUGACGGUAAGGGAGGAGGAAGCCACGGCUAACUACGUGCCAGCAGCCGCGGUAAUACGUAGGUGGCGAGCGUUGUCCGGAAUUACUGGGCGUAAAGGGUGCGUAGGCGGCUCUUUAAGUGGGAUGUGAAAUCCCUGGGCUCAACCCAGGAACUGCAUUCCAAACUGGAGAGCUAGAGUGCAGGAGAGGAAAGCGGAAUUCCCAGUGUAGCGGUGAAAUGCGUAGAGAUUGGGAGGAACACCAGUGGCGAAAGCGGCUUUCUGGACUGUAACUGACGCUGAGCACGAAGCGUGGGGAGCAACAGGAUUAGAUACCCUGUAGUCCACGCUGUAAACGAUGGGUA